CGUGUAGGCGGAUUGCCAAGUCAGAUGUGAAAUCCCCAGGCUUAACUUGGGAACUGCAUUUGAAACUGGCGAUCUUGAGUACGGGAGAGGGAAGUGGAAUUCCUAAUGUAGAGGUGAAAUUCGUAGAUAUUAGGAGGAACACCGGUGGCGAAGGCGGCUUCCUGGACCGAUACUGACGUUGAGACGCGAGAGCGUGGGGAGCAAACA
rnacentral:rRNA from 1 species